UGGACGAUCGAACAGAAGACAAGGGUUGAAACCCUAGCAUCAAGAAAUCAAGCAAUUUAGCUUGAAUCAAAGGAAAAAUUCGAUGCAUGAUUCCCUAAACUCGAGUAGCUAACCUCAAUUUCCGAAGUGGCGUGAAGGAAGAAGGUUCAAAUGCUAAGAAAUCGGAAGGUUCACAAGACCGAGGUAAAUCCUCAAUUCAUGCGACUUGGAGAAUCGGAGCGAGCACAUGUCCAUGUUAUGUUAUACCAAACGCUUCCGCUAGCUUGUUCUCAUCUUUUUGAUCCAUGACUUGUUAUUUUGCUUAACUUUGUUAGUAGUCGUAUAUUUUUAAAACUUGUUGUCUUUGCUUUCGACAAUAUUAUGUCGAACGGAUCGUAGAAUGCUAUUUAGUUUGAUUAUGUUAAAAACAGGGGCAUGCUCGUUUUAUGGACGGGUCAUGCCCAAAUUUUGUUAAAAUCACAUAUUAAUGUUAUUGAUA